UACGGAGGGUGCGAGCGUUGUCCGGAAUCACUGGGCGUAAAGGGCGCGUAGGCGGCGCGGAUAGUCGGCGGUGAAAGCCCGGAGCUCAACUCCGGGUCGGCCGUCGAUACUUCCGGGCUUGAGCACUGUAGAGGCAGAUGGAAUUCCGGGUGGUAGCGGUGGAAUGCGUAGAGAGUCCGGAAGAACACCGGUGGCGAAGGCGGUCUGCUGGGGCAGUUGCUGACGCUGAUGCGCGACAGCGUGGGGAGCAAACAGG
rnacentral:rRNA from 1 species